rnacentral:rRNA from 1 species
AAGCCAGACUCCUACGGGAGGCAGCAGUGAGGAAUAUUGGUCAAUGGACGAGAGUCUGAACCAGCCAAGUAGCGUGAAGGAUGACUGCCCUAUGGGUUGUAAACUUCUUUUAUAUGGGAAUAAAACAGGGUAUGCAUACCCUCUUGUAUGUACCAUAUGAAUAAGGAUCGGCUAACUCCGUGCCAGCAGCCGCGGUAAUACGGAGGAUCCGAGCGUUAUCCGGAUUUAUUGGGUUUAAAGGGAGCGUAGGUGGAUUGUUAAGUCAGUUGUGAAAGUUUGCGGCUCAACCGUAAAAUUGCAGUUGAAACUGGCAGUCUUGAGUACAGUAGAGGUGGGCGGAAUUCGUGGUGUAGCGGUGAAAUGCAUAGAUAUCGCGCAGAACUCCGAUUGCGAAGGCAGCUUACUAAACUAUAACUGACACUGAAGCACGAAAGCGUGGGGAUCAAACAGGAUUAGAUACCCUUGUAC